GAUGAACGCUAGCGGCAGGCUUAACACAUGCAAGUCGAGGGGUAUUGGUUUUCGGACCAAGAGACCGGCGCACGGGUGCGUAACGCGUAUGCAAUCUACCUUUUGCAGAGGGAUAGCCCCAGAGAAAUUUGGAUUAAUACCUCAUAGUAUAGUACUUUGGCAUCAAGGAACUAUUAAAGUCACAACGGCAAAAGAUGAGCAUGCGUCCCAUUAGCUAGUUGGUAAGGUAACGGCUUACCAAGGCUACGAUGGGUAGGGGUCCUGAGAGGGAGAUCCCCCACACUGGUACUGAGACACGGACCAGACUCCUACGGGAGGCAGCAGUGAGGAAUAUUGGACAAUGGGCGCAAGCCUGAUCCAGCCAUGCCGCGUGCAGGAUGACGGUCCUAUGGAUUGUAAACUGCUUUUAUACAGGAAGAAACACUCCGACGUGUCGGAGCUUGACGGUACUGUAAGAAUAACGGAUCGGNUAACUCGUGCCAGCAGCCG
rnacentral:rRNA from 1 species